GACGAACGCUGGCGGCGUGCUUAACACAUGCAAGUCGAACGGAAAGGCCCUGCUUUUGUGGGGUGCUCGAGUGGCGAACGGGUGAGUAACACGUGAGUAACCUGCCCUUGACUUUGGGAUAACUUCAGGAAACUGGGGCUAAUACCGGAUAGGAGCUCCUGCUGCAUGGUGGGGGUUGGAAAGUUUCGGCGGUUGGGGAUGGACCCGCGGCUUAUCAGCUUGUUGGUGGGGUAGUGGCUUACCAAGGCUUUGACGGGUAGCCGGCCUGAGAGGGUGACCGGCCACAUUGGGGCUGAGAUACGGCCCAGACUCCUACGGGGGGCAGCAGUGGCGAAUAUUGCACAAUGGGCGGAAGCCUGAUGCAGCAACGCCGCGUGCGGGAUGACGGCCUUCGGGUUGUAAACCGCUUUCGCCUGUGACGAAGCGUGAGUGACGGUAAUGGGUAAAGAAGCACCAGCUAACUACGUG
rnacentral:rRNA from 1 species